rnacentral:rRNA from 1 species
GAUGAACGCUGGCGGCGUGCCUAAUACAUGCAAGUCGAGCGAACAGAUAAGGAGCUUGCUCCUUUGACGUUAGCGGCGGACGGGUGAGUAACACGUGGGUAACCUACCUAUAAGACUGGAAUAACUCCGGGAAACCGGGGCUAAUGCCGGAUAACAUUUAGAACCGCAUGGUUCUAAAGUGAAAGAUGGUUUUGCUCUCACUUAUAGAUGGACCCGCGCCGUAUUAGCUAGUUGGUAAGGUAACGGCUUACCAAGGCAACGAUACGUAGCCGACCUGAGAGGGUGAUCGGCCACACUGGAACUGAGACACGGUCCAGACUCCUACGGGAGGCAGCAGUAGGGAAUCUUCCGCAAUGGGCGAAAGCCUGACGGAGCAACGCCGCGUGAGUGAUGAAGGUCUUCGGAUCGUAAAACUCUGUUAUUAGGGAAGAACAAAUGUGUAAGUAACUGUGCACGUCUUGACGGUACCUAAUCAGAAAGCCACGGCUAACUACGUG